ensembl:snoRNA SNORD116 Small nucleolar RNA SNORD116
AGAUCAAUGAUGACUCCCAUAAAUGCAUUCCCUGGAAAUCUGAACAAAAUGAGUGCACAAUCUCUACUGUCUCCUCAUUGGAACUGAGGUCC